CAUAGCUAGAUGUAAAUAUUUAGUAAUUUCUGCCCAAUGAUUUUAAUGGCCGCAGUACCUUGACUGUGCUAAGGUAGCAUAAUAAUUUGGCUUUUAAUUGAAGUCGAGUAUGAAAGGAAGACGGGGAAGUUGUCUCUUAUAGGUUUAUAAAAUUUACUUAUUAGGUGAAAAUUCCUGAUUUUAUUAUUAGACGAGAAGACCCUUAGAAUUUAUUUUAUUUUGUUGGGGCGACAAAGUUACAUUUAACUUACUUUAUACUUAAACAAGCCGAGGGUGAAAAAAUUACCUGAGGGAUAACAGCAUAAUUUUAAGAUUAUGACCUCGAUGUUGGAUUAGGGAAUAUUGGUUAGUAAUUAAUAUUGUUCUGUUCGAACCCUACGUGAUCU
rnacentral:rRNA from 1 species